AUGUUUUGUUCUUUGAAUUAUAUAAAGGAUGAUCUGUUAGAUGUUUGUCAGCAUAUUCAAGAAGUGUUAACUACCUAUUUGGAACACAUGAACUUAAAUAUUCAGCCAAAAACAAUUCCUUACAAAAUUGACAGAAAAUUUGUACAGGAACACUUUGCAGACCAUAAGCAGCUUGCUGAUCCUGAUUCAUUUUUUUUCACGAUGCCUAAAAGGUACUCCCUCUUAGAGAAAUAUAAGAGUGUUUAUAGAUCACCAAGCCCGCGUUCAGGAAUUCACCAGCUCCGCAGAUUUGCGGAGCGGCGGUUUGCUCGCUCCUAG
rnacentral:rRNA from 1 species